rnacentral:rRNA from 1 species
GCAUAUCAAUAAGCGGAGGAAAAGAAACCAACAGGGAUUGCCCCAGUAACGGCGAGUGAAGCGGCAACAGCUCAAAUUUGAAAUCUGGCCCCAGGCCCGAGUUGUAAUUUGCAGAGGAUGCUUUUGGCGCGGUGCCUUCCGAGUUCCCUGGAACGGGACGCCAUAGAGGGUGAGAGCCCCGUACGGUUGGACACCAAGCCUUUGUAAAGCUCCUUCGACGAGUCGAGUAGUUUGGGAAUGCUGCUCAAAAUGGGAGGUAUAUUUCUUCUAAAGCUAAAUAUUGGCCAGAGACCGAUAGCGCACAAGUAGAGUGAUCGAAAGAUGAAAAGCACUUUGAAAAGAGGGUUAAACAGCACGUGAAAUUGUUAAAAGGGAAGCGCUUAUGACCAGACUUGCGCCCGGUGAAUCACCCAGCUCUCGCGGCUGGGGCACUUUGCCGGCUCAGGCCAGCAUCAGCUCGCUGUCGGGGACAAAAGCUUCGGGAACGUAGCUCUCUUCGGGGAGUGUUAUAGCCCGUUGCACAAUACCCUUCGGCGGGCUGAGGUACGCGCUCCGCAAGGAUGCUGGCGUAAUGGUCAUCAGCGACCCGUCUUGAAACACGGACCAAGGAGUUAACCUUAUGUGC